UACAGGGGGUGCAAACGUUGCUCGGAAUCAUUGGGCGUAAAGCGCACGUAGGCGGUCUGUUAUGUCGGAUGUGAAAGCCCUCGGCUCAACUGAGGAAGUGCAUCCGAAACUGGCAGGCUAGAGUACUAAAGAGGGUCGCGGAAUUCCCGGUGUAGAGGUGGAAUUCGUAGAUAUCGGGAGGAACACCGGUGGCGAAGGCGGCGACCUGGGUAGAUACUGACGCUGAGGUGCGAAAGCGUGGGGAGCAAACAGG
rnacentral:rRNA from 1 species